rnacentral:rRNA from 1 species
GUGGGGAAUAUUGGACAAUGGGGGGAACCCUGAUCCAGCCAUGCCGCGUGUGUGAAGAAGGCCUUUUGGUUGUAAAGCACUUUAAGCGAGGAGGAGGCUACCGAGAUUAAUACUCUUGGAUAGUGGACGUUACUCGCAGAAUAAGCACCGGCUAACUCUGUGCCAGCAGCCGCGGUAAUACAGAGGGUGCAAGCGUUAAUCGGAUUUACUGGGCGUAAAGCGCGAGUAGGUGGCCAAUUAAGUCAAAUGUGAAAUCCCCGAGCUUAACUUGGGAAUUGCAGUCGAUACUGGUUGGCUAGAGUAUGGGAGAGGAUGGUAGAAUUCCAGGUGUAGCGGUGAAAUGCGUAGAGAUCUGGAGGAAUACCGAUGGCGAAGGCAGCCAUCUGGCCUAAUACUGACACUGAGGUGCGAAAGCAUGGGGAGCAAACAGGAUUAGAUACCCCUGUAGUCC